GGGACACGUGGUAUCCUGUCUGAAUAUGGGGGGACCAUCCUCCAAGGCUAAAUACUCCUGACUGACCGAUAGUGAACCAGUACCGUGAGGGAAAGGCGAAAAGAACCCCGGCGAGGGGAGUGAAAAAGAACCUGAAACCGUGUACGUACAAGCAGUGGGAGCACGCUUCGGCGUGUGACUGCGUACCUUUUGUAUAAUGGGUCAGCGACUUAUAUUCUGUAGCAAGGUUAACCGAAUAGGGGAGCCGAAGGGAAACCGAGUCUUAACUGGGCGUUAAGUUGCAGGGUAUAGACCCGAAACCCGGUGAUCUAGCCAUGGGCAGGUUGAAGGUUGGGUAACACUAACUGGAGGACCGAACCGACUAAUGUUGAAAAAUUAGCGGAUGACUUGUGGCUGGGGGUGAAAGGCCAAUCAAACCGGGAGAUAGCUGGUUCUCCCCGAAAGCUAUUUAGGUAGCGCCUCGUGAAUUCAUCUCCGGGGGUAGAGCACUGUUUCGGCAAGGGGGUCAUCCCGACUUACCAACCCGAUGCAAACUGCGAAUACCGGAGAAUGUUAUCACGGGAGACACACGGCGGGUGCUAACGUCCGUCGUGAAGAGGGAAACAACCCAGACCGCCAGCUAAGGUCCCAAAGUCAUGGUUAAGUGGGAAACGAUGUGGGAAGGCCCAGACAGCCAGGAUGUUGGCUUAGAAGCAGCCAUCAUUUAAAGAAAGCGUAAUAGCUCACUGGUCGAGUCGGCCUGCGCGGAAGAUGUAACGGGGCUAAACCAUGCACCGAAGCUGCGGCAGCGACGCUGAUGCGUUGUUGGGUAGGGGAGCGUUCUGUAAGCCUGCGAAGGUGUGCUGUGAGGCAUGCUGGAGGUAUCAGAAGUGCGAAUGCUGACAUAAGUAACGAUAAAGCGGGUGAAAAGCCCGCUCGCCGGAAGACCAAGGGUUCCUGUCCAACGUUAAUCGGGGCAGGGUGAGUCGACCCCUAAGGCGAGGCCGAAAGGCGUAGUCGAUGGGAAACAGGUUAAUAUUCCUGUACUUGGUGUUACUGCGAAGGGGGGACGGAGAAGGCUAUGUUGGCCGGGCGACGGUUGUCCCGGUUUAAGCGUGUAGGCUGGUUUUCCAGGCAAAUCCGGAAAAUCAAGGCUGAGGCGUGAUGACGAGGCACUACGGUGCUGAAGCAACAAAUGCCCUGCUUCCAGGAAAAGCCUCUAAGCAUCAGGUAACAUCAAAUCGUACCCCAAACCGACACAGGUGGUCAGGUAGAGAAUACCAAGGCGCUUGAGAGAACUCGGGUGAAGGAACUAGGCAAAAUGGUGCCGUAACUUCGGGAGAAGGCACGCUGAUAUGUAGGUGAAGUCCCUUGCGGAUGGAGCUGAAAUCAGUCGAAGAUACCAGCUGGCUGCAACUGUUUAUUAAAAACACAGCACUGUGCAAACACGAAAGUGGACGUAUACGGUGUGACGCCUGCCCGGUGCCGGAAGGUUAAUUGAUGGGGUCAGCGCAAGCGAAGCUCUUGAUCGAAGCCCCGGUAAACGGCGGCCGUAACUAUAACGGUCCUAAGGUAGCGAAAUUCCUUGUCGGGUAAGUUCCGACCUGCACGAAUGGCGUAAUGAUGGCCAGGCUGUCUCCACCCGAGACUCAGUGAAAUUGAACUCGCUGUGAAGAUGCAGUGUACCCGCGGCAAGACGGAAAGACCCCGUGAACCUUUACUAUAGCUUGACACUGAACAUUGAGCCUUGAUGUGUAGGAUAGGUGGGAGGCUUUGAAGUGUGGACGCCAGUCUGCAUGGAGCCGACCUUGAAAUACCACCCUUUAAUGUUU
rnacentral:rRNA from 1 species